rnacentral:rRNA from 1 species
UACGUAGGGGCCGAGCGUUGUCCGGAGUUAUUGGGCGUAAAGCGCGCGCAGGCGGUCCUUUUAAGUCUGAUGUGAAAGCCCACGGCUCAACCGUGGAGGGUCAUUGGAAACUGGGGGACUUGAGUGCAGAAGAGGAGAGUGGAAUUCCACGUGUAGCGGUGAAAUGCGUAGAGAUGUGGAGGAACACCAGUGGCGAAGGCGACUCUCUGGUCUGUAACUGACGCUGAGGCGCGAAAGCGUGGGGAGCAAACAGG